UCGUAGAAAAUGAGGGAUUCAGGGCGCUCAUGCAGCUUGUUGCACCCUCAUAUGUUCUACCAAGCAGGAAGACCGUCAAGGACUUGGUGGACCAGAAAUAUGAGGAG